AGAUUGAACGCUGGCGGCAUGCCUAACACAUGCCGAAGUCGAACGGUAACAGGCUGGAGCUUGCUCUAGCGCUGACGAGUGGCGGACGGGUGAGUAAUGCGUAGGGAUCUGCCUUUGGGAGGGGGACAACUCGGGGAAACUCGAGCUAAUACCGCGUAAUGUCUACGGACUAAAGUGGGGGAUCUUCGGACCUCACGCCUAAAGAGGAGCCUACGUCGGAUUAGCUAGUUGGUGGGGUAAAGGCCUACCAAGGCGAUGAUCCGUAGCUGGUUUGAGAGAAUGGCCAGCCACACUGGGACUGAGACACGGCCCAGACUCCUACGGGAGGCAGCAGUGGGGAAUAUUGGACAAUGGGGGCAACCCUGAUCCAGCGAUGCCGCGUGUGUGAAGAAGGCCUGAGGGUUGUAAAGCACUUUUAGUUAAGAAGAAAGAGUCCUUGUGAAUAAUGAGGAAAGAUGACGUUAUUAACAGAAAAAGCACCGGCUAACUCUGUGCCAGCAGCCGCGGUAAUACAGAGGGUGCGAGCGUUAAUCGGAAUUACUGGGCGUAAAGCGCGCGUAGGCGGCUAAACAAGUUGGGUGUGAAAGCCCCGGGCUCAACCUGGGAACGGCACUCAAAACUGUUUGGCUAGAGUACAGCAGAGGUAAGUGGAAUUUCCGGUGUAGCAGUGAAAUGCGUAGAGAUCGGAAGGAACACCAGUGGCGAGGGCGGCUUACUGGGCUGAUACUGACGCUGAGGCGCGAAGGCGUGGGGAGCAAACAGGAUUAGAGACCCUGGUAGUCCACGCGGUAAACGAUGAGAACUAGCUGUUGGGACGGGAAGACGUCUAAGUAGCGAAGCUAACGCGAUAAGUUCUCCGCCUGGGGAGUACGGUCGCAAGAUUAAAACUCAAAGGAAUUGACGGGGACCCGCACAAGCGGUGGAGCAUGUGGUUUAAUUCGAUGCAACGCGAAAAACCUUACCUACUCUUGACAUCCCAAGAAGGCUCUGUAAUUGGAGCUGUGCCUUCGGGAACUUGGUGACAGGUGCUGCAUGGCUGUCGUCAGCUCGUGUCGUGAGAUGUUGGGUUAAGUCCCGUAACGAGCGCAACCCUUGUCCUUAGUUACCAUCAUUUAGUUGGGGACUCUAAGGAGACUGCCGGUGACAAACCGGAGGAAGGUGGGGAUGACGUCAAGUCAUCAUGGCCUUUAUGAGUAGGGCUACACACGUGCUACAAUGGUCGGUACAGAGGGAAGCGAAGCGGUGACGUGGAGCCAACCCCUAUAAAGCCGAUCUCAGUCCGGAUUGCAGUCUGCAACUCGACUGCAUGAAGUUGGAAUCGCUAGUAAUCGCAAAUCAGCAUGUUGCGGUGAAUACGUUCCCGGGUCUUGUACACACCGCCCGUCACACCAUGGGAGUGUAUUGUACCAGAAGCAGAUAGCCUAACCGCAAGGAGGGCGUCUACCACGGUAUGGUCCAUGACUGGGGUG
rnacentral:rRNA from 1 species